AAGGUCUCCGUUGGUGACCAGCGGAGGGAUCAUUACCGAGUUUACAACUCCCAAACCCCUGUGAACAUACCUUUAUGUUGCCUCGGCGGAUCAGCCCGCGCCCCGUAAAACGGGACGGCCCGCCGCAGGAACCACAAAACUCUGAUUUUAGUGUAACUUCUGAGUCUAAAAAACAAAUAAAUCAAAACUUUCAACAACGGAUCUCUUGGUUCUGGCAUCGAUGAAGAACGCAGCAAAAUGCGAUAAGUAAUGUGAAUUGCAGAAUUCAGUGAAUCAUCGAAUCUUUGAACGCACAUUGCGCCCGCCAGUAUUCUGGCGGGCAUGCCUGUUCGAGCGUCAUUUCAACCCUCAAGCCCCCGGGUUUGGUGUUGGGGAUCGGGCUGUACUCCAGCCCGGCCCCGAAAUCUAGUGGCGGUCUCGCUGCAGCCUCCAUUGCGUAGUAGCUAACACCUCGCAACUGGAACGCGGCGCGGCCAAGCCGUUAAACCCCCAACUUCUGAAUGUUGACCUCGGAUCAGGUCGGAAUACCCCCUCUNCUUUAAAAAGCA
rnacentral:rRNA from 1 species